rnacentral:rRNA from 1 species
AGUGAACGCUGGCGGUAGGCCUAACACAUGCAAGUCGAACGGCAGCACAGUAAGAGCUUGCUCUUACGGGUGGCGAGUGGCGGACGGGUGAGGAAUACAUCGGAAUCUACUUUUUCGUGGGGGAUAACGUAGGGAAACUUACUCUAAUACCGCAUACGACCUACGGGUGAAAGCAGGGGAUCUUCGGACCUUGCGCGAUUGAAUGAGCCGAUGUCGGAUUAGCUAGUUGGCGGGGUAAAGGCCCACCAAGGCGACGAUCCGUAGCUGGUCUGAGAGGAUGAUCAGCCACACGGGAACUGAGAAACGGUCCAGACUCCUACGGGAGGCAGCAGUGGGGAAUAUUGGACAAUGGGCGCAAGCCUGAUCCAGCCAUACCGCGUGGGUGAAGAAGGCCUUCGGGUUGUAAAGCCCUUUUGUUGGGAAAGAAAAGCAGCAGGUUAAUACCCCGCUGUUCUGACGGUACCCAAAGAAUAAGCACCGGCUAACUUCGUG